GGGUCUUAACGACUACUCUGUC
rnacentral:piRNA from 1 species